UCUUAUAGAAGAAUAAAAGAUGUACCGAGAAGAUAUUGAACUCAUUUUCGAAUACAACCUUUGUUCAGUGGCAAAAGUUCAAAAAAUGAGAUAAGGAAUGCACAUUAAUGACUACAGUAGAAGGGAGAGCAGGUAACAACAGUAGUGCACAGGGAAAUAAGAAGUGGGGCACGUAUGCAGGUUACGUUAUCCUGGUUCAAACUGCUUAUUGUUGCAAAAAAUCAUGCGAUGUGCAACUAGCUUCACUUUACCUGAUGGCAAGUGAAUUUACUCAUAAAUAUAACACUAGCAGGGUACAGGAAAAAGAAAUGCGAACACACAGUACUAAAAUUUUGCUCACCAGAAUGUUUAUUUCCCUUUUAUGAUAACACGAGCAAAAAAAGUACCUUAGGAAAGUAAUUCACGAGAAACUGUUAAAAUACAGCUUUUACUUAUAUCUGAACAAAGAUUUAUUUAACUAGAGUUUGUCAAUAUGCUGCUUUAUUAACUUAAGUUUUUCUGCUUGGGAUUCCCUAUGCUUCUCUACACAAUACUAAUAUGUAUUCAUAUUCACUUUUGGGAGUUAGCUCUGCUUGUUCUAGUGUAAUACCAAGUUGUUCUUGAGUAGUACAUACAAAACACCUAAUCAU
rnacentral:lncRNA from 1 species